rnacentral:tmRNA from 1 species
UGUAUUGGAUGAUAUCCAGAAUAAGAUAGACAGUUGGCUAUUCUCAUCAUAUUCACAAUCUUGGUAUACUUCUGGCAAAUCACAGAAUACUGGUAAGAAUAUUGUCAUCUUGGCCCAAUGGACGCACCCGUGGAGAAUAGGGCGUUUGCCUAUGUCAGGACUGGUGCUAAUUUGACUUCUCAGAUUAAAGAAUCUGCAGCAGAGGGACUUUUUAAAAGUUUUCACCUGCUGGUGGGUAAAAAUGUUAGGGAAAACAGUGUCAGAUUUGAGGCGCUCCUGGGAGUCUAUACCAACGCUAUAGAAUUUGUCAAAUUUCUAGAGACCUCCUUGGCUAUCGCCUGUCUCAAUACUGAAUUCAAGGAUCUCAGGAGAAUGGUAGAGGGAAAAAUCCAAUUCAAGGUCUCAGUGCCCACUAUAGCGCACGGUGAUGGAAGAAGACCAAGUAAACAAAGACAGUACCUUGUUAUGAAAUCUGCCCACAAACAUCACAUAAGUGCAGAAAUUGAGUUGUCCACAGAAGAUAUAGAACUUCUUUUUGCAGAAAAGGAAACCCAACUUGACGUCGCAGAAUAUGUGGGCGCCGUGAAGACUAUAACGUCAGCUCUCCAGUUUGGUAUAGAUGCCCUCGAGCGAGGCCUUAUUAAUGUGGUGCUCACGUCCAAAUUAAGACAGGCACCGCCCACCUUUAUUCUCCAAUCAAUUAAUGACCCUAGUGCUGCGCAGCGAGGGUUUGGUAAAGCUGCCAAGUCAGAUAUUGUGGCUAAUUUUAAAAAGCAUCUACUAGAGCACACCUUCUUCUUGGAUGAUGGACUUAGAAGCCAGAGGGGUAGGGAUUAUGUCCUGGCAGUGCUGUCAGACGCAGUGACUGCGGUCAACAGCGAGUCUGUGUUUAAAGGAGCAGACUUUUACACCACGGAGGGCGGGGAACCUGUCAGCGGCGUCUUUGAAACAACUGAUGGGACCAUGCAAAAACUUUUGAACCUGGUUGGUCAGGCAACCUCGUCCAUUAUGGCCCCUGCUGCCUAUGCAAAUUAUGUUAUCAGGGGAGGGAAUGUUGUGACUGCUAUGAGUUAUGGAAAAGUCAUGAAGAAUUUUGACAGCUUCUUGUCCAGAAUGAUUGAGAAUGGGACAAACAAGUCAGUGACUGAAAAUGACUUUUAUACUGAAAAUGGCGACACUGAUAUGGAUGUCUCCAAAACCACAAUACCUGCGGCUACCAUUAGAAUAGGGGAAAAGGUUUUUGCCAUUGAGAGCCUUCAGAGGAUGUAUAGAGAGACUCAGCAGGCUUAUCCCCUGAUAAGGACCAUGCAAUACGCCUAUUACUUUCCAGUGGGUCUCUACCUUCCAGAUCCAAAAUAUACUACAUCAGGAACUCUGAGAGGCCUGGAGGGAGGAUCGCCUCCUUUGGAAGCAUGGGUUGUCAAUAAGAACAAUCUCAUACAGUGUUUCACAUUUGAUAAUGCUCUAAAGAUGCUAUGCCAUCCAAGAUUUCACAACCCACAAUUGUGUAUUCAGAACUUGCCUGGAGAGGAGUUCCAGCAUGAUCACAUUCUUGGUUAUGGCAUACAGUCUCGUCAGAUUGGACAUAUGAAUCUAUAUAGAAUGAUGUAUGGGUACUAUGAUGGUAAAGCUGUUGCUCAUAUCCCAGACGUGGUGGCCAAGUCCGAGCUCUCCACCAGCGAGUUGCUGAGCCCACCCAUGGCCCAUCUAUUGAGAUUGGAGCUUCAUCCCCUGUUUGAUUUUUACAAGAUUAGGGGCGCCAAUGGUGCCAUUGAAUGUCGGGCCGUUCACAGAACACACGUUGGCAAUAUCCCAGAAGCAUUUGCCCCACCCAAGUUUCAAGAAGGGCGCGGCCAGCAGCUUGAGUCAGCCGCUGGGCUCUCACAUGUGAUUGAUCAACAAACUAUGGAAUUGAUCCAAGAGACAGCGUUUGAUGCCAACUACCCUCCAAUGUGUUAUGUUAUAGAAGCCAUGAUUCAUGGUCAGGAAGAUAAAUUUAUAAUGACCUCUUCUAUUGUGGCACUAACCAUAACUACAUACUGGAAUAAUACCGGACACUUGGCCUUUGUGAAUAGUUACUUUAUGAUCAAGUACAUCUGUAAACAUUUUGCCAAUGGCCUCAUACCCAGGGAAAUCUAUCUGAUCUAUAAGAAAAUUAUGGCAGAACUUAUUACCAUGGAACAGACUCUACUCAAGAUCUGCGGACAUGAGAAGGUGGCAAAUGUGUCUGUGGGGCAGUAUUUUAACAGCAUUAUGGAUCCUGCCCUCCUACCUCCCUUCAUUAAUGAUGAUAUCCUCUCAAAGGCCCUUAAAAACAAACAAAGAAAAGUAUCAUUUUACAUUGGAGACGAAUUAUAUGAUAACCAAGAAAGAAGGGAUGUCUACAUAAAGGAAAUAGAUACCCUAGAGAACUCUUAUGCUGCCUUUGAUGAUAUCUACACAGAUAUGCAUGAUGCAGACCAUGAAAACAGGAAGGUUCUAUUGUUGGGACCAGAGCCAGCGGGGGACCUGAUCCUUGAAAAAUUGUUUUACUAUGUGUUUCUGCCUGUUUGCACUAAUGGGCACGUGUGUGGCAUGGGCGUUGAUUAUGGUCAUGUUAUACAGACCCUGGGCUUUAAUGGCCCUGUCUGUUUGCCCAAUGUAAAUGGGGGGGAUGAUCUGUACCAACAUCUGGCUAAUGGACCUCUGAAAGAUCUCCUUUUGGCCAGCGACCUUAAACCUACAGUGGGGAUGAUCAGACUCCUAGUGGCCUGUUCUUUGACCACUCCAGCAGUGACUCAGAUUGUUAGGGUGGAGGCGGAGAGGGACUCUGCGCAACAGCUAGCCACCCACGAGAGUGGAACUAAAGUCAGACACAGUGUGCUGGUAAAUGGUAUAGCCGCCUUUGUGGUGGCAGAUAGGAACAAACAUGUGAUAGAGACAAUGUUCUAUCCUGUGCCUUUUCAUAAGUUUUAUGCUGAUCCAGUGGUUGCUGCAACCCUUCAUCCACUUGUUAAUAACUAUCUUAAUAAUAUUCCAUCUCAAAGAAAUGGAAUCUGUUUCAACGUGCCAAGUGAAUUCAUGGCAGAGUAUGAAGAGUGGCACAAGUCUCCCAUGCUCAAGUAUGUGAGAGAUUGUGAUGUGCAACCUCAGGCGCUAAGCACCAUGUUGGCCAUGCACAUGAAACUGUCACCCAUGGGAUUUAUUCACAUGACCAAGCUAAAGGUGCACCCCGGAGUUGCUCUAACAGUUGUGAGGACGGAUGAGUUGCUUACUGAAAAUAUUCUGUACAGCAACAGGGCAUCAACCUCUGUGUUUAUUGGAAGGCCAACUGUUAAGCGGCGAGAAAUCCGUGCAGAUGCUGUGGGAUUUGAUGUAAGCAAUGAAAUAGCCUCUUUAGAUACUGCCAUGGGGUACAGCUCAACUCUGAUUCCUGCUAGAGUUGCUGGAAUUACUACAGACAUGGGAAUCCACUGUCAGGACUUGUUUAAAAUGUAUCCUACAGAUAACUUCAAGAACAGGGAACUUACCAUCUUUAUCAAAAACAAAAUAGGAAGUGAGAGAGCACCCAACGCGAAUGUUGUGGACCCUCUCGCAUAUAUGGCUGACCCAAGACACGGAUCAGAGAUGUGUGGAUUGGCACAUGGUCAAUUGGCCACCUGUGAGGUGAUUCUAACACCUGUCACAUCAGACCUUACAUACUUUCAGUCCCCUAACAGCCCCAGAGGACGAACAGGAUGUGUGGUUUCAUGUGACACGUAUUCACCAGAAAAUGCAGCAAAGCUUUUGUAUGAUCACGGUCAGCCUGACCCAGCCUAUGAAUUCAGGACCACAAAUAACCCCUGGGCUUCCCAGAUUGGAUCACUGGGCGAUGCACUGUACAAUAAUCACAAUAGACAGCUUGUGACACCCGGUCUUUACAGUCCCUGUAGACAAUUUUUUAACAAGGACAUGUUGCUGAAAAACAAUAAAUCCCUGUUCACUCUGAUACAUGAAUAUAUUACCCGCCUUGGAGGUUCCCCCGCCACCAGCAACACAGAUGUUCAGUAUGUUGUAAUUAAUGGCACUGAUGUUUUCUUGGAGCAACCAUGUAUGCUGUUACAAGAAGCCUACCCAACAUUGUCUGCUAGUCACAAGGGUCUCCUGGACGAGUUCAUGUCAAACAAGAAGGGGCAUGCUCCUGUACAUAAUAUGCACUAUCUAGUAGAAGAAGUGGCUCCCCUGAAAAGAGUAUUAAAGAUUGGCAACAAGACUGCAUAAACUUUAUGGGGCUUGGAACCUGAAGUUUAUUAAUUAUCAUGGCAUCCAACAGGAACAUUGUCAUUACUCUAACAUCUAGAUUGUAUGCAGAUGAAAUUUCUGCUCUGCAGGAAAUGGUUGGCGCUGUCAUUUGUCUGCAGCACUAUCACCAGGUGCAAGAUGUUACAUCAAUUGGUCUGGGUCAUAUCAUCAGACCAGAGGGGCCAGUUGACUGGAUUGCUGCUUUUCACUAUCUGAGGAGGUGCACAUUUGGCAUUCUGCAUGAGAUAAAUCCAGAUUCAAUUUCUAUUAUUCGUGUUGACCCAGGGGAAAAUUAUCAAAUAAAGAAUACUUCCAAGCCCUAUGUGAUGUGGGAUGAGCAUGAUGAUUUAGCAAUAAUUCCUCCCAUAUUUGGAGUACAACAAUGCACUAUAAAACUUGACUCAAAUGAUGUUAACUUGGUGUUUCCCAGUGUAGUGCCAGCAGGGCUGGCCCAAAUGGGAAUACAAAAAAUCCUCAUGUACAAUUUGUAUUCUAACCUUUUGGCAGCGGAGCGCAACCAUGACAAUGUUAAUGCACUAGAACAUUAUACCAGAAAUAUCUCAUACAUGGGGCGGACGUACAACCUGGAUGCUAUGGCUCAGCACCAAGAUGGUGCCAUGGCCGUGUUGGAUGAUGUUGCUAUGUGUACAGCGGUCCUGGCUGCUAUUGUUCCAGAAGUAUGUAAUCGGGUAGCGAUGGCCACCAUAAGGGAGGGUCAGCAUCCACUUGUGGAGGUGUUUGCGGACAAUGUUCCCAUGCUACAGAGAGGGCAAGAAUUGAAUGUUGAGCAGGAUAUUAUGCUCAUGGGGCUGUUUAUGGCAUAUACUCACAAGCUUGGUUCAAUAUUUAAUCUGAGUACGCGGCUCUGUUUGGGUGCCUACUCCCACGAGACAAAAAUAGGAACCUGUUGGCUCUAGCUCAUCAUGCCAGAAGAAAUAGAACUUAGGUCUCUGGGAAGAAACAGUAGUGGUGAGGUUGUGCUAAAUGGACCCUACCACUGUUCUGAAAAUUCCAGAUGUCCAGACUGUGAAAAGUUUUCAUAUCUGGCAUACUCCUUUCUUAUAUUCUUGACAGUACUGCUAUUUUCAGUGUAUCUACUUUUUGUGUGUCCAUUUGAAAUAAAACAUUUGUAUGGUACUUGGCAGAGUGGAGACUCUAUAUUGGCUGGAGAAGUGGGGCCCAUAUUGAACAGAACUGUUACUUCAAAAUCUUGUUGGAGGGGGCCCAGAUGUGAAAUGUUUAUUCCAAACAUCCCUAUUAUCCUGCCAAAUGAUACAAUUUAUCCAAAUUUUACAAAUUACAAUGGAAGCUAUGCUGAUUAUAGGACUACUCUUCAAGAAAUAAUUCAUACCAUCUUAUAUGAUCAAUGUAACGUCACUGUUUUGUUGCACACAUCCUUUGGGAAGACAUAUGGUAUGGAUGAUGUAUUUUUUAAAACAGUCAUGUAUAAACUCAUCACUUCAUUUUUGAUGGAGGGAAGUACCAUGUGUGAUCUGAAGACGGCAGCCAGGGAUGUUUAUGUCUUACACUCACUAUCCCACCUCCAUGAUGUUGGAAAGGGCUGUAAACUAAGACUUGAUAACAUUUAUGAUGAAUCUUCAGGGAGCCACUACAGUCGAGAGUGUGUAAAGCAGUUUGAUUGUAUGUUGUGUAUUUACCCCAAGUCUAUAAGUGUUUCCUUUAAUUAAAAACUACCACCCACUAUAUUUAAAAUUUGUACAAAUAAAAUGUGGUACGUGUCAGAAAAUUACACUAUGACAGAAACAACUACCAUCUCUGGACAAACAUCAUCUGGAUUUUCAUUUCAUGUGCCUAUCAUGGUCAUAGUGUUGAUUUUGCUGAUUAUUGGACUGUUGCUGUAUGGAGCAUAUAAGUGCUUUUUCUGGGUUAUGUACAAGCGGGCACAGAUAAUGGGGUUGCCAGCCCAAGCACUCUUGUCACGUGUAAAGGUGUAAAAAUCAUUGUACAAACUUGACUAAAUAAAGAUUAUUUUAUUGAAAAA